GGGAACAUUAUCAGCAUAGAAGAUAUCAGGAACACCAAAUUUAGAAAACAAAUCCUUACAAUGCUUGAUCAUAGUAAAAGCUGUUUUAUUUGGGUAGGAAAAACUUUCAACCAAUGAGAGUAGCUGUCAACAAUUAACAAAUAGCUUUUGAACUGGUAAUCAAAAAAGUCGGAAAAAAAUAUUUGCCACGGUCUUUGGUGUCGUCCAUAAAUUACGUGAGGUGUUCGAAGGGGGGAGGGGGUCAAGUUAAAUCUUUCCAGAUCUCACUUGGGGAGAGGUAGGUUUCAACAAAUAUCACGUAUUUUUUUUCAAUAGAAAACCAUGUAAAAUUGUGUGAAAGUAAAGUUAAAUUGAAGUAAGAAAUUUUUCUAGAAUAAAAAUAUAUGCGAAAUUUGACACAAUGGUGUUUGUUGUACUACCCCGAACUCCGCAGAGUAGCACAAUAGCUCUCCGAUUGUUUAUGUGCUUUCGACCAGCCGUAUCGAUACGCGCUACUCGAUGAAUGUCGCAGCGUAAAGAACCGAGUAACAGCGACGCAAGUACAGGUGCUAUAACCUGCUUUGUUGAUGCCCGCAAAUAUUUUAUUUAACAACUUUUUUGAUACUAUUUUAACGAUUAAACAUUAAAACGUUAAAAGACACAUCUACAAGACAAAGAAAUGCUGUAAAGAAGAAGUGGUAAAGUUAUGGAACACAGCAAAACAAAAGUAUCCAAAGAAAGAAGAUUUGGUGAAACAUAUUCAGCAUGAGAUUGAUCAGCUUCUAAGAGAAGCAGCGGAAAAAAGGUCUCUCUCUAAGGGAAACACUCGGAGCUCUGAUAAUGUUUCAACACAAGUUGAUACAAGCGCUCAAGGUACGUCAAACUUAGAAUGCACGAUUCAAACUGAAAUUAACAUCCGGAUUAUUCAACAUGAGGAAUCAGUGACUCGAAAUGAGAUUUCUCACUAUAAUCAGCGGCUCAUGGAUCAAGAUUACGAUAAUGAACCUCAACUGGCAGGUGCUACAAAACGGAAAAAUCAGCGACGAUGAGAGAUGAGAAGUUGCGGCAAGAAAUUGAUAAUUUUGAAAAACAGCUCAAACCUAAGGAGAACCAAAGAGUAUACUCGAUGAAGCAUAGAUAAAAUAAAAAUUAUCGAAUUGUGUUCUAAAAAUCCUGGAGCAGCAAAAUCGUUGAUACCUCGAGUAAGCUCUAGACUUCCACGCUUCGAGGAAGAGCAGUCUGAAUUGCUGAAAACUAUUAGUGAUUUAGCUAUGUUUGGUGCAUCAGCUGAGGAACGGCGUCGCUGUGAAAUUGUUCCUAGUGUCCAUAGUCUUUCAGAGCUCACUCAAAAACUUAUCGAGCUGGGAUUUAAUAUUUCUCGAAGCGCCGCUUACAUUCGACUGUUGCCUAGACGGGCAGAUACGCGGUAGGCUAAGCACCACGUAGUGACUGUAACGGUGAAGUUGAGUCGCACCAAGACCAAUACUUUUUUGUAGCUUCCAUAAGGUCACUAGAAACUGUAGCCUCAAUACUUGGCUCUGAUUCUAUAUCUUUUUUAUCCCAAGAUGACAAAGCAUGGGUCCCCAUAGGAUUGACAACAGCAAACAAGCAGGCGCCUUUGCUAAUGCACGUUGAGUAUAAAGUGUCGUUACCAGAUCAUGACUUUAUAAUUGCUGCAAGACAUAAAUUGAUCCCGAGUGUCUAUGCUUUGUGUGAAGUAAAACCGAAUGACAUGGGGCGGCCAGAAGCCGUCUCAUAUAGUGGAAUAACAUAUAUAGCAAUCCAAAGUGGUAAGCACUCGUCUUCGACUGCAACUAGUCAAGCUGAAGACUUGGACACUCUCUUAACUCUUCAGCCUUUUGGUAAAUUAAUGAAAAACGAAGACGAUAAAGUCAAGCCUGUCCUUAUUAUUUCGAACGAUGGCGGUCCCGAUGAGAACCCGCGAUAUCGGAAAGUAAUUGUACAUUCUAUACAGCAUUUUAAAAAAUAUGAAUUUGACGCAAUAUUCAUUGGGACUAAUGCCCCCGGCAGAAGUGCUUUCAAUAGAGUAGAGAGACGCAUGGCCCCACUUAGCCGAGAACUAUCAGGUGUUGUUCUUCCCCAUGACUCUUUUGAGUCACAUCUUGACUCCACGGUAAAACAAUUAAUGAUGAUUUAAAAAAAGAUAACUUCAAAAAAGCGGAAACGACGACAUUUCUAAUGUUCCAGAUUUUCCAGCUGAAGAAUGGUACACCGAGCAUUUUAGAGAGAGUCAAUAUUUACUUCAGGUUGUAAAAUGCGAUGAUCAGCAGUGCUGCAGUCCGCGUCGGAGUUCUUUACAUGUACUUCUACAUGAUCUUUUUUUAUUACCUCCAUAUUCCAUUCAAGUUAAUGGACAUCCGGCGAUUCCGGAUCCUGAACAGCAUGAUGGAAAAACAUUUGCACCAUUCUUAAUUCGCCACUGCCUACCUAUUCAACCAUUACACACCUUCACAAGCAAGCCUUAUGACCUCUAUUGUCCAAAUUUAGGUCACGAUAUAGAAAAGAGAUGCUGCAAUACAUGUGGUAUCUAUUUCGCAUCCAUCACAAAAGUUGCGGAACAUCGAUGUGCGGCUCAUCAUGCACGAGAUGUGCAAACACUUAAAUUGCGACCAUAGCGUAUUGUUACAAGACAAGCGACUGGGUGCAAGCGACAACGGUUUGGAGUGGCUCAAUCAGAACGAAGUUGAAGGAGCAGAUGAUUUCAUUGAAAAUUAUUUGAAUACGUUGGUUCUAGUAGUCACUCUUGAGAGUGCACGAGUCUCCAUGGACUGAAUUAGAAUAAUCUCUUAUUAAUUUACGUUGAAGUAUUUAUUAUUUAAUUUCAUCACAGUAAUUUUUAACUAAGGCAAUAUUCUCAAAUCAGAAUUGUAUACUAGUCUUUAAUAAAAGUGAUAGAGCAAA